rnacentral:rRNA from 1 species
UACGUAGGUGGCGAGCGUUUGUCCGGAUUUACUGGGCGUAAAGAGCGCGCAGGCGGUCGUUCAAGUCGAGUGUGAAAGCCCCCGGCUCAACUGGGGAGGGUCACUUGAUACUGAUCGACUCGAAGGCAGGAGAGGGAAGCGGAAUUCCCGGUGUAGUGGUGAAAUGCGUAGAUAUCAGGAGGAACACCUGCGGUGUAGACGGCUCUCUGGACCACUACUGACGCUGAAACACGAAAGCGUGGGUAGCAAACAGG